rfam:Citrus sinensis cultivar Ridge Pineapple sweet orange scaffold12443_contig_1, whole genome shotgun sequence.
AGCCGUGCGGUGAGCACAGAGCGAACUAUUCUUUCGCCUUUUACUAAAGAAUACCGUGUGCUCGCCGCUGAGAGCGGCAUACGCCUAUUUUUGGAGGGAUGUUUCUUCGGAAUUGCC